CAGCAGCCGCGGUAAUACAGAGGGUGCGAGCGUUAAUCGGAUUUACUGGGCGUAAAGCGUGCGUAGGCGGCUUUUUAAGUCGGAUGUGAAAUCCCUGAGCUUAACUUAGGAAUUGCAUUCGAUACUGGGAAGCUAGAGUAUGGGAGAGGAUGGUAGAAUUCCAGGUGUAGCGGUGAAAUGCGUAGAGAUCUGGAGGAAUACCGAUGGCGAAGGCAGCCAUCUGGCCUAAUACUGACGCUGAGGUACGAAAGCAUGGGGAGCAAACAGGAUUAGAGACCCGUGUAGUCCCUGUCUCUUAUAA
rnacentral:rRNA from 1 species